rnacentral:rRNA from 1 species
UACGUAGGGUGCAAGCGUUGUCCGGAAUUAUUGGGCGUAAAGAGCUCGUAGGCGGUUUGUCGCGUCGAAUGUGAAAACCCGGGGCUCAACCCCGGGCCUGCAUUCGAUACGGGCAGACUAGAGUUCGGUAGGGGAGUCUGGAUUUCCUGGUGUAGCGGUGAAAUGCGCAGAUAUCAGGAGGAACACCGGUGGCGAAGGCGGGACUCUGGGCCGAUACUGACGCUGAAGAGCGAAAGCGUGGGGAGCAAACAGG